rnacentral:lncRNA from 1 species
UUCAAUAAAUUAAAAUUUAGAUAAAAAUUGUAUUUUUUCUGUUUGUUUGUAUAGCUGUAAAAUUAUUCUUUAUUAUUUAUUUCACACGAAGGUUUAGUUUGGUAUUGAAGUCUAUCUAACGUUAUUAAAUAAAAUGGAGUUGAGAAAAAAACAUAUAAGGAUAUGCUUCUGUGUUCUCCGGUGGGAUUACAGAAAAUAUAUCGUAAUCGACGUAUCGCGAUAUACGGAACGCAAUAUCAUAUACGGAAGCAAACAUGGUAUUUUUUCAUCGUCGUUUCUCACCGCACGUACAAUCUCUCCGUAGUCCCAAACAAAGUUGAAGUGAAUAAAGUAAAAACUGAAAAUACAAUAAAUUAAUAGUUAAAUAAUAAUCUUUUAUAAUUUAUUUUAUGUUAUUUUGAAAAAUUUAUAUUUCAAUCAAAAAUAAAAUUAUAAUAAAAUAAACAACAAAAUUUUAUAUUUUUGGAGGUUAAUUACUCCACCCAUCUCUACAGUAAAAUAAAUGUAUUUUUAAUUUCUUUCUAAAAGAUAGAUAGCAUACUAUCCGUUUUAUUUAUUUUUUUAAAAAAUAAAUUUAACUGAAAUAUAAAUCAGUUUAAAUUCGAAUUUAGAACCUCGAAUAUCAAUCAUCAAAUUUGGGCUUUCGGAAAUAAAUG